GAUGAACGCUGGCGGCGUGCCUAAUACAUGCAAGUCGAGCGAACAGACGAGGAGCUUGCUCCUCUGACGUUAGCGGCGGACGGGUGAGUAACACGUGGAUAACCUACCAAUAAGACUGGGAUAACUUCGGGAAACCGGAGCUAAUACCGGAUAAUAUAUUGAACCGCAUGGUUCAAUAGUGAAAGACGGUUUUGCUGUCACUUAUAGAUGGAUCCGCGCCGCAUUAGCUAGUUGGUAAGGUAACGGCUUACCAAGGCAACGAUGCGUAGCCGACCUGAGAGGGUGAUCGGCCACACUGGAACUGAGACACGGUCCAGCCUCCUACGGGAGGCAGCAGUAGGGAAUCUUCCGCAAUGGGCGAAAGCUUGACGGAGCAACGCCGCGUGAGUGAUGAAGGUCUUCGGAUCGUAAAACUCUGUUAUUAGGGAAGAACAAAUGUGUAAGUAACUAUGCACGUCUUGACGGUACCUAAUCAGAAAGCCACGGCUAACUACGUG
rnacentral:rRNA from 1 species